rnacentral:rRNA from 1 species
GAUCAUGGCUCAGGAUGAACGCUGGCGGCGUGCUUAACACAUGCAAGUCGAACGGAACUACUUUGAUGAGAUUCUUCGGAAAGGAUUUGAUUUAGUUUAGUGGCGGACGGGUGAGUAACGCGUGGGUAACCUGCCUCAUACAGGGGGAUAACAGUUGGAAACGGCUGUUAAUACCGCAUAAGCGCACAGUACCGCAUGGUACCGUGUGAAAAACUCCGGUGGUAUGAGGUGGACCCGCGUCUGAUUAG